AGGACGAACGCUGGCGGCGUGCCUAACACAUGCAAGUCGAACGAGGUUAAUCCGGUAGCAAUACUGGUGACUGCCUAGUGGCGAACGGGUGAGUAGCACGUGAGCAACCUGCCCCGAAGACCGGGACAACACCGGGAAACCGGUGCUAAUACCGGAUACCCCCACCUAAUCGCAUGAUCUGGUGAGGAAAUGGAUUCCGCUUCGGGAGGGGCUCGCGGCCUAUCAGCUAGUUGGUGAGGUAACGGCUCACCAAGGCUUCGACGGGUAGCUGGUCUGAGAGGACGAUCAGCCACACUGGGACUGAGACACGGCCCAGACUCCUACGGGAGGCAGCAGUGGGGAAUCUUGCACAAUGGGCGAAAGCCUGAUGCAGCAACGCCGCGUGAGGGACGAAGGCUUUCUGAGUUGUAAACCUCUUUCAGCAGGGACGAUUGUGACGGUACCUGCAGAAGAACGCCCGGCCAACUACGCGCCAGCAGCCGCGGUAA
rnacentral:rRNA from 1 species